UCGAUCAAGAACAGAGAACAAGGGGGGAAAACCCUAGCUUUAAGAAUCAAGCGAUUGAACCUGAAAUCAAAGGAUAAUUCAAUGCAUGAACUCUAAUAUCACUCUACUGAACUCGAUUAUUGAAGUGGCGUGAAGGAAGAAGGUUCAGACACUAGGAAAUCGAAAGGCUCACAAGAUCGAGGUAUGUUAAUUUACACAUACAUUUCUAGCAUGUUGUAUUAUGAUCACUAAUUUUUAUUGUAACUUGUCGUUUAUGCCAAAAAUCAUAAUAAUGGUAGUCCAUGGAAGUUGAGUAGCAAUUAGUAUGAUCCGUUAUGAACGAAUUAUGUAAAAGGAAAAUUUAUGAAUAAGACUGCAUUAUAACCGA